rnacentral:rRNA from 1 species
UACGUAGGGUGCUAGCGUUGUCCGGAUUUAUUGGGCGUAAAGGGCUCGUAGGCGACGUGUCGCGUCGGGAGUGAAAGCCCGCUGCUUAACGGCGGGUUGGCUUCCGGUACGGGCAUCGCUGGAGUGCGGCAGGGGAGACUGGAAUUCCUGGUGUAGCGGUGGAAUGCGCAGAUAUCAGGAGGAACACCGGUGGCGAAGGCGGGUCUCUGGGCCGUUACUGACGCUGAGGAGCGAAAGCGUGGGGAGCGAACAGG